rnacentral:rRNA from 1 species
CAUGCAGGCGGUUCAUCAAGUAGGAUGUGAAAUCCCCGGGCUCAACCUGGGAACAACAUACUAAACUGGUGGACUAGAGUAUUGCAGGGGGAGACGGAAUUCCAGGUGUAGCGGUGGAAUGCGUAGAUAUCUGGAAGAACACCAAAGGCGAAGGCAGUCUCCUGGGCAAAUACUGACGCUCAUAUGCGAAAGCGUGGGUAGCAAACA